rnacentral:pre_miRNA from 1 species
AGUGGGAUAACUGGGCAAAUGGUAGUUACAACUAAAUUUUCUGAGGAAUCUCCACACUGCUUUUCAGAGUGGUUGCACCAAUUUAUAGUCCCACCAGCAAU